CAUCGAGUCUUUGAACGCAUAUUGCGGCUCCGGGUCACUCCCGGAGCCACGCCUGUCUGAGGGUCGGCGAACGUACUCGCAAGACUGCCUUGCUCUGGGCCUUCGUACGUCUUGCGCCUUGGCCAGUCGCACUGCUCUUUUGCAGACUGCGUCGGCCGCAGCGGAGAAUGUAAAGGGUUCGCCCGUCCUUGGGCGCCGUCGCCACCGUUCGAAUUGUCGCGGGUGUCCCUGCCCCCGGCGUCGACAGCGUGGAGACGCGGCUCGCUUAACUGCGAGACUUCGUGCUCCUGCCGUCGCUAGUCUGCGGGCGAGCUCCCGGGCGCGUUCGGAGGCGGUCCGUGCGCCAGCGAAUCCCUUGCGCUGGAAAGAAGACUGUGGCCUUGCCCCACUGUUUUUCUCACACUCCGACCUCAGAUCAGACGAGACUACCCGCUGAAUUUAAGCAUAUUAAUAAGCGGAGGAAAAG
rnacentral:rRNA from 1 species